AAUCAACGCUGGCGGCGUGCCUAACACAUGCAAGUCGAACGCGAAAGUCCCGCAAGGGAUUAGUAGAGUGGCAAACGGGUGAGUAACACGUGGGUGACCUGCCUUCGAGUGGGGGAUAACGUCCCGAAAGGGACGCUAAUACCGCAUGACAUCCUGUCUUUGGAAAGACGGAGAUCAAAGCUGGGGAUUCGCAAGAACCUGGCGCUUGAAGAGGGGCCCGCGCCUGAUUAGCUAGUUGGAGGGUAACGGCCUACCAAGGCAACGAUCAGUAUCCGGCCUGAGAGGGCGGACGGACACACUGGGACUGAGACACGGCCCAGACUCCUACGGGAGGCAGCAGUGGGGAAUAUUGGACAAUGGGCGCAAGCCUGAUCCAGCCAUGCCGCGUGAGUGAUGAAGGCCUUA
rnacentral:rRNA from 1 species